GGCGAAGACAGGAGGGCAGGCAAGGGAGGGACCCCUGCCUGCUGGAGAGUUUGACCUCAUUUAAGAAUCAAGACUUUUUUUUCCUUUCUCUAGAUUGGGCUGGUUGGCUCCUGUUAUCUGACAGUUGAUUCCAUUCAUUCCAUCUUCUUAAUUCUUUUACACCUGGAGGUCUUCACCUUUCUCUAAGCCCUUCUACCUAGGUUCUUAAGCCUGGACUCUUCCUACCAUCUAGCUCACAGGUUUUUUCUCUCUCUGCUUCAACUCCACAACAUGAGUGUGGACCCAGACUGCUUGGCCCCAAAGCAUCCAAUUCCAGGGACUCUUCACCAAUGUCUGAAAUUUCUGGGCCUGAGGAAACCAGGUAUCCUUGCAAGGGUCAUCUGCUGAGACCCUCAACAAGGAGACUGGACAGUCCUGAUUCUUCCACAAGCCCCAGAGUAAAACUAUUGCCCAUACCUGCCGAGAAAAGUGCAGCGAAGAAGGAAGAGAAGGCUCCAGCUUCCCAGGUGACUCAGUGGUAAAGGACCCAUCUGCCAGUGCAGGAGACACCAGUUCAAGCCCUGGGUUGGGAAGAUCCCCUGAAGAAAGAAAUGGCAACCCAGUCCAGUAUUCUUGCCUGGAAAAUCCCAUGGACAGAGGAGCCUGGCAGACUACAGGCCACGCAGUCACAAAAGAGUUGGACAGGACUUAAUAAUUAACAUACACAAGAGACAACUCUACACAUGGGCAUCACCAGAUGGUCAAUACCCAAAUCAGAUUGAUUCUAUUCUUUGCAGCUGAAGAUGGAGAAGCUCUAUACAGUCAGCAAAAACAAUACCAGGAGCUGAUUGUGGCUCAGAUCAUGAACUUCUUACUGCAAAAUUCAGACUGAAACUCCAGAAAGUAGGAAAAACCACUAGACCAUUCAGGUAUGAUCUAAAUCAAAUCCCUUAUGAUCAUACAGUGGAAAUGACAAAUAGAUUCAAGGGAUUAGAUCUGAUAGACAGAGUGCCUGAAGAACUAUGGAUGGAAGUUCGUGACAUUGUACAGGAGGCAGGGAUCAAAACCAUCCCCAAGAAGAAGAAAUCCAAAAAGGCAAAAUGGUUGUCUGAGGAGGACUUACAAAUACCUGAGAAAAGAAAUGAAAGGCAAAGAAGAAAAGAAAAGAUAUACCCACCUGAAUGCAGAGUUCCAAAAAAUAGCAAGGAGAGAUAAGAAAGCCUUUGUAAGUGACCAAUGCAAAGAAAUAGAGGAAAAUAAUAGAAUGGGAAAGACUAGAGAUCUCUUCAAGAAAAUUAGGGAUACCAAGGAAAUAUUUCAUGUAAAGAUGGGCACAAUAAAGUACAGAAAUGGUAUGGUCCUAACAGAAGCAGAAGAUAUUAGGAAGAGGUGGCAAGAAUACACAGAAGAACUAUACAAAGAAGAUUUUCAUGACCCAGAUAACCACAAUGGUGUGAUCACUCACCUAGAGCCAGACAUCUGGAAUGUGAAGUCAAGUGGGCCUUAGGAAGCAUUUCUACAAACAAAGUUAGUGGAGGUGACAGAAUUCCAGAUGAGCGAUUUCAAAUCUAAAAGAUGAUGUUGUCAAAGUCCAUUCAGUUCAGUCCAGUCACGCAGUCAUGUCC
ensembl:lncRNA